CAAGAACUGUCUUCGAGCUUCAACCGCAUCAACUUCCGCAGCAGACUAAUCUUCCGAUGUUUCCCGCGGUUCUGGAAGGCGGUUCGAAGGCUCUGCCAAGCUUUUUUGGCUGUUCGGGCAUUUUGAACUAGACUACCGUGUGCGCACCUAAUUUUGCGCAGGUCCAAACUUUGCGCAUUCUUGUAAAAUAACGAAAAAAAUAACUAAAUGUCAACAUAUUCACUAGUUUAAUCAUUGCACUAGUGUUGCUGCUGGGAACACUGGUCCAUUGCUUCCGUUGGUGGUGCAACCGAAGCUGAACCACCCGUUUGAUCUGUCAGCGCGAGAUGACUGGCAAGAAUGAGAUAGAUCGAAGACAGCCUAAUGAGCGAACGUUCCUAUACCGCUAAAAGUGUCGAGAUAAAGUUAAAGUUAUUAAAUUACCUUUGUUAAUUGGAAAAUCCUAGUUGAAUUUGCUACUACUAGUUUACAAAAUUCCCAAAAGAGGUUAGAAGUCCUAAAGCCUAAGAUCUAAUAUCGUGCAAUUAAAAUCACUAUUAAUCACGAAGUAAGAGGUAGUUGUCAUGCAUUAGGACAGCCAAGUAAUUAAAGUUUCAAUUACAGUUCGAACUUAGCUUAGUUGCGUUGGGAGUGCAGUUUAGAGUUAGAUCUAAAGUGAUUGGAACACCGAAAGUGUAAGAUGCGUAUGUUACAUGAACUGUGAAUCAAAACUAAUAAAUGAUUAUUUUUUUGUAGUUUAAAGCUA